CCUACGGGAGGCUGCAGUGAGGAAUAUUGGUCAAUGGGCGAGAGCCUGAACCAGCCAAGUCGCGUGAGGGAGUACUGCCCUAUGGGUUGUAAACCUCUUUUGUCGGGGAGCAAAAGCCGGACGUGUCCGGCUGUGAGAUUACCCGAAGAAAAAGCAUCGGCUAACUCCGUGCCAGCAGCCGCGGUAAUACGGAGGAUGCGAGCGUUAUCCGGAUUUAUUGGGUUUAAAGGGUGCGCAGGCGGAUUUUUAAGUCAGCGGUAAAAUCGUGGGGCUCAACCCCAUCCAGCCGUUGAAACUGGGGAUCUAGAGUGUGCGAGAGGAAUGCGGAAUGCGUGGUGUAGCGGUGAAAUGCAUAGAUAUCACGCAGAACCCCGAUUGCGAAGGCAGCAUACCGGUGCACAACUGACGCUCAGGCACGAAAGCGUGGGUAUCGAACAGGAUUAGAUACCCUUGUAGUC
rnacentral:rRNA from 1 species